CCUACGGGUGGCAGCAGUCGAGAAUCAUUCACAAUGGGGGAAACCCUGAUGGUGCGACGCCGCGUGGGGGAAUGAAGGUCUUCGGAUUGUAAACCCCUGUCAUGUGGGAGCAAAUUAAAAAGAUAGUACCACAAGAGGAAGAGACGGCUAACUCUGUGCCAGCAGCCGCGGUAAUACAGAGGUCUCAAGCGUUGUUCGGAAUCACUGGGCGUAAAGCGUGCGUAGGCUGUUUCGUAAGUCGUGUGUGAAAGGCGCGGGCUCAACCCGCGGACGGCACAUGAUACUGCGAGACUAGAGUAAGGGAGGGGGAACCGGAAUUCGCGGUGUAGCAGUGAAAUGCGUAGAUAGCGAGAGGAACACUCGUGGCGAAGGCGGGUUCCUGGACAUUAACUGACGCUGAGGCACGAAGGCCAGGGGAGCGAAAGGGAUUAGAUACCCGGGUAGUC
rnacentral:rRNA from 1 species